rnacentral:rRNA from 1 species
AUCAACGCUGGCGGCAUGCCUAACACAUGCAAGUCGAGCGAGAAAGUGUAGCAAUACAUGAGUAAAGCGGCGCACGGGUGAGUAACACGUGGAUAACCUGCCUAAAGUGGGGAUAACACGGUAAACCGGUGCUAAUAACGCAUAUUCUGACGAGAUCUGCGGAUUUUGUCAGGAAAGGAGCAAUUCGCUAAUGAGAGGGGUCCGCGGCUGAUUAGCUAGUUGGUGAGGUUAAUGGCUCACCAAGGCUACCGAUCAGUAGCCGGUCUGAGAGGACGGUCUGCCACACUGGAACUGAUACACGGUCCAGACUCCUACUGGAGGCAGCAGUGGGGAAUGUUUUCGCAAUUGGGGCAACCUGACGAAGCAAUGCCGCGUGGAUGAUGAAGUAUCUCGGUACGUAAAAUCCUUUCGACGGGGACGAAACCGCAAGGUUGACGGUACCGUAGAUAGAAGCCCCGGCUAACUCCUUGCCAGCAGCCGCGGUAAUACGGGGGGGGCAAGCGUUGUUCGGAAUUACUGGCGUAGUAAGGGGUGCGUAGGCGGCUUUCUAAGUCGGAUGUGAAAACUCUGGGCUCAACCCAGAGCCUGCAUCUGAAACUGGAGAGCUAGGGUUUUGGAGGGGAAAGCGGAAUUCCAGGUUGUAGCGGUGAAAUGCGUAGAUACUCACUGGAGGAACACCGUGGCUAAGGCGGCUUUCUGGACAAAUACCGACGCUGAGCCACGAAAGCCUAGGUGAGCAAACAGAUUAGAUCCCCCUGGUAGUCCUAGCCUAACUAUGUAUACUUGCCUGUGGGGGGGAUUGAAGCCCCUUGUGGCGAAGCUAACGCAUUAAGUAUCCCCGCCUGGCGGGGAGUACGGUCGCACAGGCUGGAAACUCAAAGGAAUUGACGGGGGCCCGCACAAGCGGUGGAGUAGGUUGGUUUAAUUCGACGCAACCGCGAAGAACCCUUACCUGGGCUCGAACGGCUAGUGACAGGUGGCGAAAUUCGCUUUUCACCCGCAAGGGACAUUAGUCGAGGUGCUGCAUGGCUGUCGUCCAGCCUCGUGUGUCUUGAGAUGUUUGGUUAAGUCCCGCGCACGAGCGCAACCCCGGCUUUAGUUGCCUAACAGUCAAGCUGAGCCACUCUAAGGGACUGCCGGUGAAAAACCGGAGGAAGGGGGGAUGACGUCAAGUCCUCAUGGCCUUUAUGUCCAGGGCUACACACGUACACAAUGGCCGGUACAAAGAGUCGCAACCUGCGAAUGGGAGCCCAUCUCAAAAAGCCGGUCUCAGCUUCGGAUUGGGAGUCUUCAACUCGGACUCCAUGAAGCUGGAUCGCUAGUAAUCGCUGAUCGAUCAAGCAGCGGUGAAUACGUUCCCGGGCCUUGUACACAACGCCGACCGUCACAUCACAGAAAGCCGUUGUACUAGAAGCCGUGAUUCAACGCAAGGAGAUAGCCGUCAAGGUAUAGACUGGUGAUUGGUGGUG